CCUACGGGAGGCAGCAGUAAGGAAUAUUGGUCAAUGGACGCAAGUCUGAACCAGCCAUGCCGCGUGAAGGAUUAAGGCCCUCUGGGUUGUAAACUUCUUUUAUAGGGGACGAAAAAAGGGCAUUCUUGCUCACUUGACGGUACCCUAGGAAUAAGCACCGGCUAACUCCGUGCCAGCAGCCGCGGUAAUACGGAGGGUGCAAGCGUUAUCCGGAUUUACUGGGUUUAAAGGGUGCGUAGGUGGGUUGGUAAGUCAGUGGUGAAAUCUUCGAGCUUAACUCGGAAACUGCCAUUGAUACUAUCAAUCUUGAAUCAUCUAGAGGUAAGCGGAAUAUGUCAUGUAGCGGUGAAAUGCUUAGAUAUGACAUAGAACACCAAUUGCGAAGGCAGCUUACUAUGGAUGUAUUGACACUGAGGCACGAAAGCGUGGGGAUCAAACAGGAUUAGAUACCCUGGUAGUCCACGCCCUAAACGAUGGAUACUCGACAUUUGUGAUAUACUAUAAGUGUCUGAGCGAAAGCAUUAAGUAUCCACCUGGAAGUAACGACGCAAGUUGAAAUUCAAAGGAAUUGACGGCGNGAGAGNGCGAGACGACACGAGGAGGAGG
rnacentral:rRNA from 1 species